AGAACUUAGCAGAGAUGCUUUGGUGCCUUCGAGAGCUCUGAGACAGGUGCUGCAUGGCUGUCGUCAGCUCGUGUUGUGAAAUGUUGGGUUAAGUCCCGNAACGAGCGCAACCCUUAUCCUUUGUUGCCAGCGGUUCGGCCGGGAACUCAAAGGAGACUGCCGGUGAUAAACCGGAGGAAGGUGGGGAUGACGUCAAGUCAUCAUGGCCCUUACGGCCAGGGCUACACACGUGCUACAAUGGCGCAUACAAAGAGAAGCGACCUCGCGAGAGCAAGCGGACCUCAUAAAGUGCGUCAUAGUCCGGAUUGGAGUCUGCAACUCGACUCCAUGAAGUCGGAAUCGCUAGUAAUCGUAGAUCAGAAUGCUACGGUGAAUACGUUCCCGGGCCUUGUACACACCGCCCGUCACACCAUGGGAGUGGGUUGCAAAAGAAGUAGGUAGCUUAACCUUCGGGAGGGCGCUUACCACUUUGUGAUUCAUGACUGGGGUGAAGUCGUAACAAGGUAGGCGUACGUGU
rnacentral:rRNA from 1 species